CAAGGUUGUUCCAACAAGUCCGAUACAGUCAUGAUAUAACAAUAUUGUUACAACCUUGUGUCGUCAACCUUGUAACAUUCUUGUCAUAUCAUGACUGUAUCAGACUUGUUAGAAAAACCUUG
rnacentral:miRNA from 1 species